GGUUUCUGCUCAGCUCCCCGCCGCUGAGCCGGGCAAACUGUGCAGUGAUCCCUUCGCCGCCAGCCCGCUGUCCCCGGCCCAGGAGCUGAUCCGCGGUGGAAGACACGAAGAGGGGCCUUCUCAACUCCAUCCGGCUCUCCCAGCUGUCUGGGAGAAACCUGAAGAAGUGGUGAU